GCCGCGGUAAUUCCAGCUCCAAUAGCGUAUAUUAAAGUUGUUGCAGUUAAAAAGCUCGUAGUUGGAUCUGGGGUUCGGGUCGGCGGUUUGCCGCUUCGGCGGCUACUGCCGUGCUCGACUCUUACUAGCCGGUGCGUCUUGCGGUGCUCUUCAUCGAGUGCCGUAGGAGCCUGGCAUGUUUACUUUGAAAAAAUUAGAGUGCUCAAAGCAGGCGAUUCCGCCUGAAUAGUGUUGCAUGGAAUAAUGGAAUAGGACCUCGGUUCUAUUUUGUUGGUUUUCGGAACUUGAGGUAAUGAUUAAGAGGGACGGUCGGGGGCAUUCGUAUUCCGGUGUUAGAGGUGAAAUUCUUGGAUCGCUGAAAGACGGACAAAUGCGAAAGCAUCUCCCAAGAACGUCUCCAUUAAUCAAGAACGAAAGUCAGAGGUUCGAAGACGAUCAGACACCGUCCUAGUUCUGACCAUAAACGAUGCCAACUAGCGAUCCGCAGUGGUUGCUAUAAACGGACUCUGCGAGCAGCUUCCGGGAAACCAAAGUGUUUGGGUUCCGGGGGAAGUAUGGUUGCAAAGCUGAAACUUAAAGGAAUUGACGGAAGGGCACCACCAGGAGUGGAGCCUGCGGCUUAAUUUGACCCAACACGGGGAAACUCACCCGGUCCGGACACUGUAAGGAUUGACAGAUCGAGAGCUCUUUCUUGAUUCGGUGGAUGGUGGUGCAUGGCCGUUCUUAGUUGGUGGAGUGAUUUGUCUGGUUAAUUCCGAUAACGAACGAGACUCUAGCCUGCUAACUAGUUGCGCCGUGUUCAUACGCGGCUGUAGACUUCUUAGAGGGACAGGUGGCGUUUAGCCACACGAAAUUGAGCAAUAACAAGUCUGUGAUGCCCUUAGAUGUCCGGGGCCGCACGCGCGCUACACUGAAGGAGUCAGCGUGUGCUAUCCGGGCUCGGAAGAGUUCGGUAACCCGUUGAAACUCCUUCGUGCUUGGGAUUGUGGCUUGUAAUUAUCGCGCAUGAACGAGGAAUUCCCAGUAAGUGCAAGUCAUCAGCUUGCGCUGACUACGUCCCUGCCCUUUGUACACACCGCCCGUCGCUACUACCGAUUGAAUGGUUUAGCAAGGUACUCGGAUUGGUCUCGAUCUUGUACGAAAGUGCGGGAUCUGUGGCCGAGAAGAAGGCCUAACUUGAUCAUUUAGAGGAAGUAAA
rnacentral:rRNA from 1 species